CCCCGCCCGUCUCGAUAAAAUCAGUAUCGAUCCGAUUUGUUUUUUUUUCCCAAAGCUAGCGGGUAAGGGGGGGGGGGAGAGGAUAUUAUAGACUAUCCCGGUCCCACACACCGGACGCGGAACACUCGAAAACAACGACACAACGACGUCGUUUUUCAAUAUUGUAGAGACGCCGAUUUUCGGUAUCGCGUGUCGACCGCACCGACCGGUCC